rnacentral:rRNA from 1 species
UACGGGGGGGGCAAGCGUUGUUCGGAAUUACUGGGCGUAAAGGGCGCGUAGGCGCCUUCUAAGUCGGACGUGAAAUCCCUCGGCUCACCGAGGAACUGCGUCUGAUACUGGAAGGCUUGAAUCCGGGAGAGGGAUGUGGAAUUCCAGGUGUAGCGGUGAAAUGCGUAGAUAUCUGCAGGAACACCCGUGGCGAAAGCGGCGCGCUGGACCACUACUGACGCUGAGUGAACGAAAGCUAGGGGAGCAAAUGGG